AUGGCGUCGAUGAUGUUUUCGGUGAUCGGCCUUCCUAGAAAUGAAACAGUCGGUUCAUAUUUUCUUUGAUGGUCUCCAUGUCGUGGAGCGACGACAAACCCAAACUUGUAAUUUUAUUUUACAACUUUUAAUGAGCAAAGACACGGAGCGAGACAGCGCCAUUUCCAGGGAACUCCAGCUUGGUCAGGUUGGCGUCUGCAAGGAAAUCUAGAGUUGUAUGAAGCCCACUGACAUCAAGACUGGAUAGCUGUCUGAGGAAAGUUUUGUUUUUCACAUCCCAUUUCAUUGGUAUGGUGCUGAA